GACAGAGGGUGCAAACGUUGUUCGGAAUUACUGGGCGUAAAGCGCGUGUAGGCGGCCAUGCAAGUCGGAUGUGAAAGCCCUCGGCUCAACCGGGGAAGUGCACUCGAAACUGCAAGGCUAGAGUCUCGGAGAGGAUCGCGGAAUUCUCGGUGUAGAGGUGAAAUUCGUAGAUAUCGAGAGGAACACCGGUGGCGAAGGCGGCGAUCUGGACGAUGACUGACGCUGAGACGCGAAAGCGUGGGGAGCAAACAGG
rnacentral:rRNA from 1 species